rnacentral:rRNA from 1 species
AACUGAAACAUCUAAGUACCCCGAGGAAAAGAAAUCAACCGAGAUUCCGAAAGUAGCGGCGAGCGAAAUUGGACUAGCCCUUAAGCUUUACACGCGUUAGACGAACGGUCUGGAAAGUCCGACGAUACAGGGUGAUAGUCCCGUAGUUGACGACGUGUGUUCAGUGAAAUCGAGUAGGGCGGGACACGUGAUAUCCUGUCUGAAUAUGGGGGGACCAUCCUCCAAGGCUAAAUACUACUGACUGACCGAUAGUGAACCAGUACCGUGAGGGAAAGGCGAAAAGAACCCCUGUGAGGGGAGUGAAAUAGAACCUGAAACCGUGUACGUACAAGCAGUAGGAGCAGGCUUUGUCCUGUGACUGCGUACCUUUUGUAUAAUGGGUCAGCGACUUAUAUUCAGUGGCAAGGUUAACCAUCUAGGGGAGCCGUAGGGAAACCGAGUCUUAACUGGGCGUUCAGUCUCUGGAUAUAGACCCGAAACCAGGUGAUCUAGCCAUGGGCAGGUUGAAGGUUGAGUAACAUCAACUGGAGGACCGAACCGACUAAUGUUGAAAAAUUAGCGGAUGACUUGUGGCUAGGGGUGAAAGGCCAAUCAAACCUGGAGAUAGCUGGUUCUCCCCGAAAGCUAUUUAGGUAGCGCCUCGGACGAAUACUACUGGGGGUAGAGCACUGUUAAGGCUAGGGGGUCAUCCCGACUUACCAACCCUUUGCAAACUCCGAAUACCAGUAAGUACUAUCCGGGAGACACACGGCGGGUGCUAACGUCCGUCGUGGAGAGGGAAACAACCCAGACCGCCAGCUAAGGUCCCAAAUUACUACUAAGUGGGAAACGAUGUGGGAAGGCUCAGACAGCCAGGAUGUUGGCUUAGAAGCAGCCAUCAUUUAAAGAAAGCGUAAUAGCUCACUGGUCGAGUCGGCCUGCGCGGAAGAUGUAACGGGGCUAAGUAGUAAACCGAAGCUGCGGCAAUGUGCUUUUGCACAUUGGGUAGGGGAGCGUUCUGUAAGCGGUUGAAGGUGUGUGGUAACGCAUGCUGGACGUAUCAGAAGUGCGAAUGCUGACAUGAGUAACGAUAAAGGGGGUGAAAAACCUCCUCGCCGGAAGACCAAGGGUUCCUGUCCAACGUUAAUCGGGGCAGGGUAAGUCGACCCCUAAGGCGAGGCCGAAAGGCGUAGUCGAUGGGAAACGGGUUAAUAUUCCCGUACUUCUUACAAUUGCGAUGGGGGGACGGAGAAGGCUAGGUGGGCCUGGCGACGGUUGUCCAGGUUCAAGUG